rnacentral:rRNA from 1 species
AUGAACGCUGGCGGCGUGCCUAACACAUGCAAGUCGAACGGAGCUGCUUUAAUGAAGUUUUCGGAUGGAUUUAAAACAGCUUAGUGGCGGACGGGUGAGUAACGCGUGGGUAACCUGCCUCACACUGGGGGAUAACAGUUAGAAAUAGCUGCUAAUACCGCAUAAGCGCACGGUUCCGCAUGGAACAGUGUGAAAAACUCCGGUGGUGUGAGAUGGACCCGCGUCUGAUUAGCCAGUUGGCGGGGUAACGGCCCACCAAAGCGACGAUCAGUAGCCGGCCUGAGAGGGUGAACGGCCACAUUGGGACUGAGACACGGCCCAAACUCCUACGGGAGGCAGCAGUGGGGAAUAUUGCACAAUGGGGGAAACCCUGAUGCAGCGACGCCGCGUGAGUGAAGAAGUAUUUCGGUAUGUAAAGCUCUAUCAGCAGGGAAGAAAGUGACGGUACCUGAAUAAGAAGCCCCGGCUAACUACGUGCCAGCAGCCGCGGUAAUACGUAGGGGGCAAGCGUUAUCCGGAUUUACUGGGUGUAAAGGGAGCGUAGACGGCAAGGCAAGUCGGAAGUGAAAGCCCGGUGCUUAACGCCGGGACUGCUUUGGAAACUGUUUAGCUGGAGUGCCGGAGAGGUAAGCGGAAUUCCUAGUGUAGCGGUGAAAUGCGUAGAUAUUAGGAAGAACACCAGUGGCGAAGGCGGCUUACUGGACGGUAACUGACGUUGAGGCUCGAAAGCGUGGGGAGCAAACAGGAUUAGAUACCCUGGUAGUCCACGCCGUAAACGAUGAUUGCUAGGUGUAGGUGGGUAUGGACCCAUCGGUGCCGCAGCUAACGCAAUAAGCAAUCCACCUGGGGAGUACGUUCGCAAGAAUGAAACUCAAAGGAAUUGACGGGCACCCGCACAAGCGGUGGAGCAUGCUGUUUAAUUCGAAGAUACGCGAAGAACCUUACCUAGACUUGACAUCCCUGGCAAAGCUAUAGAAAUAUAGUGGAGGUUACCCAGGUGACAGGUGGUGCAUGGUUGUCGUCAGCUCGUGUCGUGAGAUGUUCGGUUAAGUCCGCUAACGAGCGCAACCCUUAUCCUUAGUUGCUAACAUUAAGUUGAGAACCCUAAGGAGACUGCCGGUGACAAACCGGAGGAAGGUGGGGAUGACGUCAAAUCAUCAUGCCCCUUACGUCUAGGGCUACAGGCGUGCUAUAAUGGCCGAUACAAUAAGAAGCAAUACUGUGAAGUGGAGCAAAUCUGUAAAGUCGGUCUCAGUUCGGAUUGAAGUCUGCAACUCGACUUCAUGAAGCUAGAAUCGCUAGUAAUCCCAAAUCAGAAUGUUGGGGUGAAUACGUUCCCGGGUG